ACAAAGCAGGUCAUGAACAGGUCACACAGCACCACAUGCUGGUCCGGAGGAGAAGUCACCUCACAGCUGCUUUGUUAAGCAAACAUGUUCAUCUCACCUUCAUCUUUUGGCAAGGAGGCUGCAAUACUGAACUCACUUCUUUUACUUCAAAGCUGAAGCGAGGAGGGUCGCAGCUUACUGCAGGGUUUGUUUCCCCGGGAUGCAGACGGACCACUCCGGACAAGGCGUGCAGAUGUCAAGCGAACACGGUUGGAUUGGACCAAACACACAAAGUACAGUGUAUUAUGCAGCGAUCAUUUCGAAAGAUCGUGUUUCGAAGAAGGUCCCUUGCGAAGGGUAGAGAUGGGCAUCGCCACCACCCGUCGACCUUCAGGUUGUACAGGUACGACCAUAUAAUCUCAAUAAAACAUUAGUAACACAAUAAGCAGAUAAGGG